UGCUAUAAUUGUCAGCUAAGUGGCGCACGGGUGAGUAAUGUAUAGAUAACCUGCCCUUAAGAAAGGAAUAACAGUUGGAAACGACUGCUAAUGCCCUAUAUGCCUUUAAUACAUAAGUAUGCAAGGGAAACGCUUUAGUGCUUAAGGAUGGGUCUGUAUGGUAUCAGCUUGUUGGUGAGGUAAUGGCUCACCAAGGCUAUGACGCCUAACUGGUUUGAGAGGAUGAUCAGUCACACUGGAACUGAGACACGGUCCAGACUCCUACGGGAGGCAGCAGUGGGGAAUAUUGCACAAUGGACGAAAGUCUGAUGCAGCAACGCCGCGUGGAGGAUGACACAUUUCGGUGCGUAAACUCCUUUUAUAUAGGAAGAUAAUGACGGUACUAUAUGAAUAAGCACCGGCUAACUCCGUGCCAGCAGCCGCGGUAAUACGGAGGGUGCAAGCGUUACUCGGAAUCACUGGGCGUAAAGAGCGUGUAGGCGGGUAUAUAAGUCAGAAGUGAAAUCCAAUAGCUCAACUAUUGAACUGCUUUUGAAACUGUAUACCUAGAAUGUGGGAGAGGUAGAUGGAAUUUCUGGUGUAGGGGUAAAAUCCGUAGAG
rnacentral:rRNA from 1 species